rnacentral:misc_RNA from 1 species
UGUACUUGUUCAUUUCUUUCAUUCUUUAUUGGGUGUGUAUUUCUUGGGAUGCCGAUAAAUAAUAACUUGCUUCUUCGGAGAGGUUCUUGGAGAUAUAAUUGAUGAAACUGCAAUGCGUUUUGCCCAUUUUAGUGCUUUUUUAACAAUUAAAUGGAAUAGUGAAAAAAAUAUAAUCUUGCUUUGUAAAAUGUUUAAAAGAUUCUAUUUCCAAUUAUUGUACUUUAUUUUUUUCUGAAUUACCAGGCAGUACGCAGAAAUUGCAUUGUGCAGGUAGUUAUGUUUGCCGUGUUAUUUUGAGUUUUGAAGUUUAUUGUGAGUUUCUCUGGAUAAUUG